UGCCAAAAAAGAAAAAUAUCUGAAUCUUGGGUUUACUGAAAAAUGAUGAAGAAAUCAUGGGUUUGUACUUUUAUUACUCAAUUUUGUUUAUGUUUAUCUCUUUUUCUUGUUCUCAACUUGUGUCAAAAUCAGAAGCCAAUGAUAAGGAAUGGAAAUGUGAAUAAUCUUCCUAUGGAUAUAUGUUUUAUAAGUGUUACAGGAGGUAUUAGGACUCUUGAAGAACAGACCCUUCUUCUCAAACAGGUGGAGAAGGUAGCAAAAAAGUUCAAUGCAAGAUUCGUUAUCAACAUAAGCGAACUUGGGGAAGAUGAUCCUCUUAUGCAAAAUGCUACUUGGCAUUUUCCUUCCGUGAAGAUCCCAUGGUACUCUACUCGAGCUCUCAAAGGACAAGGGGUGAAUCACUACCUUAAACAAUUCAAAUUUGCCCAUGGAAGCUUAGAUAUUAUAGUUGUGGAUACAGGAUUAUAUGAGGUUGCUUCAAAUGGUGCUGGAGAUAGGCAGUCACAAUGGCUGAUAGACACGCUUGAAAACAGUGAAAGCAAAUGGUGCAUUGCUAUGGGACUUCAUCCAUUGGUAGCUUACGAAGAAGAUACUCCUCAAACGAAACUAAAACACGAAUUCCAGUCUUUACAUGGCGUAUUUCUGAAGUACGGGGUGGAUGCAUAUAUAAGUGCCCCUGCUUGUGCUGACAAUGUUGAGGAAAGACAUUGCAAAAUCCAAAAUUAGUAUUGCCAGAUAUAAAGGACCUUUGCUGACUAAAGUGAAUCAGAACUUGCCUUACUCUAUGGAAAAAGUAAAUGGAUUCCUACUUCACAAAGUCGGUGCUCUAGAGAUUGUUUCCUAUUUAGUCACCUUGGAAGGUGAUGUUGUGCAGAAAUUUUUUCUCCAUCAAAGAGGCAAAGAAGUUAUGUAGAUAUUCCUAUAGCUUCAGACAUCAUUUAGGGGGAGCCAUUUUCUUCCGAUCGCCUUUUUUUCGUUCUAGUUAUCGUCGUGGAAAAGAAUGAAGAAGAUCAUAGAUUCGAUCAAAUAUUAGUGAUGAAUUGCCGUUCUCGUCUUUUUCUCCUUUUUAUUUGCGGAGUAAGGGAAGAAAAAGAGAAUGAAUUACAAGAAAAGUAGAUUCAACAUUCAUGCUUAAGUUCGGAUUAACAUAUUCAACGUUCGUGCUCAAGUUGAAAUUAGAUCUUUUGCAAGA